UUGAACGCUGGCGGCAUGCUUUACACAUGCAAGUCGAACGGCAGCGCGGGCUUCGGCCUGGCGGCGAGUGGCGAACGGGUGAGUAAUGCAUCGGAACGUGCCCAGUAGUGGGGGAUAGCCCGGCGAAAGCCGGAUUAAUACCGCAUACGACCUUAGGGUGAAAGCGGGGGACCGAAAGGCCUCGCGCUAUUGGAGCGGCCGAUGUCGGAUUAGCUAGUUGGUGGGGUAAAGGCUUACCAAGGCGACGAUCCGUAGCUGGUCUGAGAGGACGACCAGCCACACUGGGACUGAGACACGGCCCAGACUCCUACGGGAGGCAGCAGUGGGGAAUUUUGGACAAUGGGGGCAACCCUGAUCCAGCCAUGCCGCGUGCGGGAAGAAGGCCUUCGGGUUGUAAACCGCUUUUGUUCGGGAAGAAAUCCUCUGGGCUAAUACCCCGGGGGGAUGACGGUACCGGAAGAAUAAGCACCGGCUAACUACGUG
rnacentral:rRNA from 1 species